rnacentral:rRNA from 1 species
UACGGAGGAUGCGAGCGUUAUCCGGAUUUAUUGGGUUUAAAGGGUGCGUAGGCGGAUCGUUAAGUCAGUGGUCAAAUUGAGGGGCUCAACCCCUUCCCGCCAUUGAAACUGGCGAUCUUGAGUGGAAGAGAAGUAUGCGGAAUGCGUGGUGUAGCGGUGAAAUGCAUAGAUAUCACGCAGAACCCCGAUUGCGAAGCCAGCAUGCCGGCUUCCGACUGACGCUGAAGCACGAAAGCGUGGGGAUCGAACAGG